AUCCCUUCUCGGUCUUUUGGCUAAGAUCAAGCAUAGUAUCUGUUCUUAUCAGCUCACAGAAGUCCUCUUCACUCUACAUAAACACUCCAGCUCCUUCAACUGCUCCCAGAAUGAGAUGAAUCAUCUUGCUCACAUUCAUGUGCUACUGAACACAC
ensembl:snRNA U2 U2 spliceosomal RNA